rnacentral:misc_RNA from 1 species
AUAAAGAAUGAUGAACUCUUUUUAAAACUCACUCCUUCUCCCCCCAAAAAGAAAUCUUGGACAGCUCAACAAAAAAAUACAAUUAGAGUGAAAAGUUCAUGAUUUCUAUUUUAGAAUGAGCAAAAUGCAAACUUGUUAUUGCUGUAAUUCAGUACGCCAAUUAUCAUAUGCGGGUUGUGCAUACUCAAUGAUUUAUGCAAUGUUUCAAAUUGUUGAAUUUGUUUUGUCCAGCUGUCAUCAUAGCUUAGUUACUAUGGCCGUCGCAAAUCAAUUGCGUAAUGGUUCGUCUUAUAUAAAACGAAAUAACAACUGCUAUUUAAUUAAUGCAACAUCUUCAGAGAAUGGGGUUCUUAUUCUGCAAGGAAGCAUCAUUAAUCCACAUGGGUUUUCACAAACAGACUUUUUUUACCUGCGACGCACAAAAUUCUUCCUUGAUAUCUCCGUUCUUUUAUUUUCGGUCUUUUUAUUUCUUGGUUUGGUAAAGGGAUAUCGACAACUCCUCAUACCCUGGAUAUUCUCAAACAUAUGUCUGGUCAUAACAGAUAUGAUUGAAAUUGUCGUUCUUUUAUCAUUAAAAACUACAAAGUUUGAGCCCAACACUGCCUUCGUUUUCACCAUCAGUUUCUUUUUACUCAUCUUACACAUCUAUGCCGUACUUGGUGUCAUUGCACAAUACCAGGAGUUUGUUAAAGGACAACCUUAUUCCAUAGGAGAGAGGAAUGCCAAUAACACAGGGACGUCCAUGAUUGUGAUUGAAACAGACUUUGCCCCAACUUUAAUGAAUGGUAUAGAAUCGACAACACAUUCAAAGCACGUUCGAAACUCUAGCAGGAAAAUUGUCACGUCGAAGGAUAGCAUCUCCAGUAAGGAAAAUAUCUACAGCAAGGCUACAAAGACAAAGAUUGAAGUUGGCAGCAAAACAACAAAAUGGGCAAAGCUCAGCAAACAAAGAUCCUAAAAGUAAUGACUGUAUCAAUCAAAAUAAAGUUGAUACAAUGGUCUAAGACUACAUUUAUACAACACCAAUUUCACUCAUCUAUUUAAUGUAAAUGAAUGUGACAUGACUUUGGAGUGGACUCUACAAGAUAUUUUUAAGACAUUAACUGACUAUAUUACUACUAUAAACUUUUCUACUCAUUUCCUUCUCUCUCCAUGUACAAUAUUCGAAGAGAAAAUUUUUUACAAGUUUUAUUUUAAUCAUUCAAAUAAUACCAACUACAGAUACAUGUAAGAUAAUAUUUGUCCACUCUUUUAAUUUGUUGUACCUACAAAAAUAAAAGUCCAUUGACGACAUUUGUAAAAUAUAUAUAUUUUUAUUUUGCCAUUAUGUGCAUACGUAUACC